rnacentral:rRNA from 1 species
UACGUAGGGGGCAAGCGUUGUCCGGAAUCAUUGGGCGUAAAGAGCGUGUAGGCGGUCCGAUAAGUCCGCUCUGAAAGCCCGAGGCUCAACCCCGGGAGGCGGGCGGAUACUGUCGGGCUAGAGUCCGGAAGAGGCAAGUGGAAUUCCUGGUGUAGCGGUGAAAUGCGCAGAUAUCAGGAGGAACACCGAUGGCGAAGGCAGCUUGCUGGGACGGUACUGACGCUGAGACGCGAAAGCGUGGGGAGCAAACAGG